CUAGAAUAUUGUGAACGUUUGAUGACAACGUCUCCCAUCUCACAGAACCGGAGGUUUGCUCUCAGAUGGUCAGAAUCAAAUGUCAGCACCUGGAUAAAAGAAAAAAAAACAGAGGAACUGCAAGAUCUUUGCAAUAAAGACGCCAGUUUGUAACUCUCGUAGUUCUUACCAGCGUUUUGACCUCGUCUGUUCGUUUGUCUGCCUGUUGUGACCCGUUUUUGGAUUCCUCGGUUUUUUGCCCUCUGCCUGCUCCCUGUCGGUUUUGUCUGCCUCUUCUGAUCUCCUGGUUCAGACCUUCUCGCCUUGACUACUGUCGGGGAAAAUACCCCUAAGGCCGCUCGGGGAGACGGGCUGUCGCCCUCAAUCCGGAGGA